CCCUCGCCCAACAAAUCGCCAUCGAAGCUUCAAACGGAGACAUUCUUCGGGAUGUCUCAGAAACACUUUGCUUCGGGAGAAAGUCCCCGGACAGUCUUCCUUUUCGGAGGGAGAAUGCCGAAAGGCGCCGCCAUAGAAGCACCACGCGGCUGAUCUCUGCUCUCCCCUGUUCCCUUGUCUGGCUUGCCUGCCCUGCCUCGCCGCUACAUCUUCCUGGUUCUGCGCCCACGGGGUUACAAGCACCGGUGUGCCUGGUUCGAUGUGUCACAUGGACGAAGAUAUGAGUCCGACGCGCAGAGCCAGGCCCUGCCUGUUUUGGGCUCCUGGGCGCGGCCGUUCGAUGGCGGGGCGGACGUGAUGUGCGGCCUAGUGCUGGGGGCGUUUCGUGGGGAAGGCUUGAGAACGUUUUCGUCGAGAUAUCACAGGUAUGCGAUUGCCCCAUGCCAGGCUCUGUCUGGCUGGGUUUACUCGAUGGGGCUCAUUCUUGGUGCGAGG
rnacentral:RNase_MRP_RNA from 1 species